AUUGAACGCUGGCGGCAGGCUUAACACAUGCAAGUCGAGCGGGGUGAUGGUGCUUGCACUAUCACUUAGCGGCGGACGGGUGAGUAAUGCUUAGGAAUCUGCCUAUUAGUGGGGGACAACAUUUCGAAAGGAAUGCUAAUACCGCAUACGUCCUACGGGAGAAAGCAGGGGAUCUUCGGACCUUGCGCUAAUAGAUGAGCCUAAGUCGGAUUAGCUAGUUGGUGGGGUAAAGGCCUACCAAGGCGACGAUCUGUAGCGGGUCUGAGAGGAUGAUCCGCCACACUGGGAUUGAGACACGGCCCAGACUCCUACGGGAGGCAGCAGUGGGGAAUAUUGGAUAAUGGGCGGAAGCCUGAUCCAGCCAUGCCGCGUGUGUGAAGAAGGCCUUAUGGUUGUAAAGCACUUUAAGCGAGGAGGAGGCUACUUUAGUUAAUACCUAGAGAUAGUGGACGUUACUCGCAGAAUAAGCACCGGCUAACUCUGUGCCAGCCGCCGCCGCAACAC
rnacentral:rRNA from 1 species